rnacentral:rRNA from 1 species
UACAGAGGUCUCAAGCGUUGUUCGGAUUCAUUGGGCGUAAAGGGUGCGUAGGUGGCGCGCUAAGUCGGGUGUGAAAUUUCGGAGCUUAACUGCGAAACUGCAUUCGAUACUGGCGUGCUUGAGGACUGGAGAGGAGACUGGAAUUCAUGGUGUAGCAGUGAAAUGCGUAGAGAUCAGGAGGAAGACCAGUGGCGAAGGCGGGUCUCUGGGCCGUAACUGACGCUGAGGAGCGAAAGCAUGGGGAGCGAACAGG